AAACCAGUGAUGGAGCGUGAAAAGAAGUAAUAGCGAAAUAGUGGCCCAACGAACAGAAACUUGAUAAUGAGGCCCAUUAGGCGGAUAAGUUGGCAAGACACAACAAAGUCCAAAAGGCAAUCGUAACCCUAAUCGGUAAAUCAAGUGGGUAAACUAGGAAAGAUUUAUGGC
rnacentral:ncRNA from 1 species